UGUUUGUGUAAAUCAGCCAUCACAAAACAGGCAAACGUGUUGAAUGAGUCUCCAAAAAUAACUCCCUGAGGCCAAACGCAGCCUCUCACAACAACCCAGCCGGGUACAUGGAUGCAGAUGGGUUCCUAGAACACUCACCUAGCAGGGCAAGCAUGUGCUACAAGUGGCCCACCCUCCAGAAGGAGCUCCUCUUUGGCUAGAGUUGAGUCUAGCUCCUCACGUGAACUUCACAGCUGGCCGGAGCAUAGUGAGAGAGCGCUUCCUUCUCCCUGUAAGAAGCAGGUGGAAUCAUGCAGUGCUCUUGGUUAGUAUGAACUUGGUUAGUGCUUUUGUCCCUCCUCAGAUAUACCUUCGUUACACUGCCACAUGCUUUCCCGAGCACAAAGAUGCCCGAGGUCUUCAAUUACGCGCUCACAGGGCUGAUCUGCAGAAUAUAGCAGUGCCAACCCUGGGCUUCCAACCACAAGAAACGCAUCUCCUGGCACUGUGGAUCUAUCUAUGUGAUACCAUGACCAGCUGAAUGUAGGCCUGUAUGUGCAGCCGUGCUCACACAGAUAUCCGCCUGCUCCCACCACAACAAAAGAAGAAACCAUUCUUAUGAUUGCGUUGGAAAGAAAUUCUUACGAUUGCUUUGGAGGCAAGACCAAGAGAUGUGUCCCACUAAUUCUACCCUGUGGGUGAUCAAAAAUCCUGCUUUAUUUUCUGAAAUUUCACUAGAGGACUCUCACUGUCUAUUCAGACUAGCCUCCACAGGCAGCCUAAAGACUUGAAAACUAAGCGUUCACGAUUGGAAAGGAAUCUCAAAACCUGUCAAAUGCUGUGCCAGAUGUGGAAUCCCACAUUGCUGCGGCAAGCCUGUUCAGACAGGAAUACUCAAAGCCUUAACUUUUUUCAGAAACAAAGCAAGUUUGAAGCCCAUGUGUUGAUGAACCCGCCUGAGGUCAGAGUUCCGCUUGUGAUGCACAAAGACUGUACCUGUUUGAGUGGCCUCUUCAGCGUAACAAACAUCUCAGCACAUGGAAAUGUAGCAUUAGCCUGCAAAUGCAGUCGCUUUCUCCAUGCCACUCCAGACAGCUUAUUGAACAGGCGAAGCGUAGAAAUCCCACAUGGCUUUGUGACAUGAGCAAACGAUCCGUGUGCAAGGAACAGCAUACUUCAAACUGCAGUGCUUAUGAUGUGACAGAGCUGUGGAUGCAGGUAUGGAAACAUCUGGAAAGGGUGCCAUUUACAUGAGUAAGUUGUUUGUUAGCAGUCCUCCGAAGCAAAAAUUGGGUGCUCUGACCUAAGAAAAGGAAUUUCGCCACAGGAUUCCCCUCAUUUCCAUUUCACACAUCCUUCCUAAAACCCUUCGGAAAGCAGCUUGAACAUUAACAGUUUGCCUAAGUGUAAUAAAUAUAGACAGAGCCACUGCAUUAUCAAGCAGAUAUAACUAUCAGUUGCUAUGGCAGUGCUGAAAAGGGAAGUUUUAUUUAAAUCUGUGGCAUCCAUGUCUUGUGUCUUUUGAUCCAGACAUUUGCCAUUUUCACAAAUGGUUUCUGUUCUUUGAUUCUGUGAGCCAUCCUACAUGAACACGGCCAGUUUCAAAUACAGACUACAAAUCAAAA